rnacentral:misc_RNA from 1 species
GUAGGGUAAGCUAACCCCUAUUCCUCCCCAUAACGUCCUACUAACAAGUCACAGUGAACCUGCGGAAGGAUCAUUACAGUCGGGGCUCGACGCUUCGCCCGUGGCCAUUGCCGCCGGUGGAGUGCGCCUGCCUGGAAUUCUUGUCUAUAUCUCCACGUUGCUUUGGCGGGUCGUCUUAGGACCGCUGGGGGUGCUGCCCCUGGCGUAUGCCCGCCAAAAGCCUCAAUUAAUCCGUGUCAAACGUGUUGUC